rnacentral:rRNA from 1 species
UACGUAGGGUGCAAGCGUUGUCCGGAAUUAUUGGGCGUAAAGAGCUCGUAGGCGGUUCGUCACGUCGGCUGUGAAAACCUGAGGCUCAACCUCAGGCCUGCAGUCGAUACGGGCGGACUCGAGUUCGGCAGGGAAGACUGGAAUUCCUGGUGUAGCGGUGAAAUGCGCAGAUAUCAGGAGGAACACCGGUGGCGAAGGCGACUUCCUGGCCUGUUCUUGACGCUGAGGCGCGAAAGCUAGGGGAGCAAACGGG